GCGCCUGCCCUGCAGCAGCGCAGGGCGUGACGCUUCACGUGGCCGGGCUCAGGUCGUAGCACCGCGGACCGCGAGCCUCUCUGCGUUGACCCAGGGACUGAGACCCCGGGGACGUGGCGUGCCAGCCCGGAUCGGCCCUCUCCCUGCCUGUUGGGAAGUUCGGCGGCGCUGUUCGCGGUCUGCACCCAGGGCAGGAGGGAUGAGAGAGACAAGAAAAAAAAACCGCCUGUUACAGGGAAAUCUUAGCAAUCAUGCGGUCGACACGUAUUUCUUGAGCCCCCUGCUCUGCACUAGGCGCUGCACUAGUUGAUGAAUCCGACACGGAUCCUGCCCUUGAACUUGCAGAACCUCUAGGAAGAGGUUAAAUUGAGCAAUAAAGGAAAGGCAGCCCUGGGAAAAUUG
rnacentral:lncRNA from 1 species